AACAGGAUUAGAUACCCUGGUAGUCCACGCCCUAAACGAUGUCAACUAGCUGUUGGGGCCUUCGGGCCUUGGUAGCGCAGCUAACGCGUGAAGUUGACCGCCUGGGGAGUACGGUCGCAAGAUUAAAACUCAAAGGAAUUGACGGGGACCCGCACAAGCGGUGGAUGAUGUGGAUUAAUUCGAUGCAACGCGAAAAACCUUACCUACCCUUGACAUGUCUGGAAUCCCGAAGAGAUUUGGGAGUGCUCGCAAGAGAACCGGAACACAGGUGCUGCAUGGCUGUCGUCAGCUCGUGUCGUGAGAUGUUGGGUUAAGUCCCGCAACGAGCGCAACCCUUGUCAUUAGUUGCUACGAAAGGGCACUCUAAUGAGACUGCCGGUGACAAACCGGAGGAAGGUGGGGAUGACGUCAAGUCCUCAUGGCCCUUAUGGGUAGGGCUUCACACGUCAUACAAUGGUCGGGACAGAGGGUCGCCAACCCGCGAGGGGGAGCCAAUCCCAGAAACCCGAUCGUAGUCCGGAUCGCAGUCUGCAACUCGACUGCGUGAAGUCGGUAUCGCUAGUAAUCGCGGAUCAGCAUGUCGCGGUGAAUACGUUCCCGGGUCUUGUACACACCGCCCGUCACACCAUGGGAGUGGGUUUUACCAGAAGUAGUUAGCCUAACCGUAAGGAGGGCAAUUACCACGGUAGGAUUCAUGACUGGGGUGAAGUCGUAACAAGGUAACCGUA
rnacentral:rRNA from 1 species